rnacentral:rRNA from 1 species
AUGCGUGCGGGAGCUUAAUACAUGCAAGUCGAGGGGUAACAGAGGACUUCGGUCCUGCUGACGACCGGCGAACGGGUGAGUUACGCGUACGCAACUUGCCUUCAAGCGGAGGAUAGCCCCGGGAAACUGGGAUUAAUACUCCAUAGUAUCAUAGAAUCGCAUGGUUUUAUGAUUAAAGAUCCGUUGCUUGAAGAUAGGCGUGCGUGCUAUUAGCUAGUUGGUAAGGUAGUGGCUUACCAAGGCGACGAUAGCUAGGGGGCGUGAGAGCGUGGCCCCCCACACGGGUACUGAGACACGGACCCGACUCCUACGGGAGGCAGCAGUAAGGAAUAUUGGACAAUGGGCGCAAGCCUGAUCCAGCUAUCCCGCGUGCAGGAUGACGGCCCUAUGGGUUGUAAACUGCUUUUAUACAGGAAGAAACGCUUCCAUUUAUGGGAGCCUGACGGUACUGUACGAAUAAGCACCGGCUAACUCCGUGCCAGCAGCCGCGGUAAUACGGAGGGUGCAAGCGUUAUCCGGAAUCACUGGGUUUAAAGGGUGCGUAGGCGGCGCUAUAAGUCAGAGGUGAAAGGCCACCGCUUAACGGUGGGACUGCCUUUGAUACUGUAGUGCUUGAAUCAGGCUGAGGUCGGCGGAAUGUGACAUGUAGCGGUGAAAUGCUUAGAUAUGACAUAGAACACCAAUUGCGAAGGCAGCUGACUAGACCUUGAUUGACGCUGGGGCACGAAAGCGUGGGGAGCGGACAGGAUUAGAUACCCUGGUAGUCCACGCCCUAAACGAUGCUUACUCGACGUAUGGAUUUAUCUGUGCGUCCAAGGGAAACCGUUAAGUAAGCCACCUGGGGAGUACGUUCGCAAGAAUGAAACUCAAAUGAAUUGACGG